rnacentral:rRNA from 1 species
UGAUGGCGAGUGGCGAACGGGUGAGUAAUAUAUCGGAACGUGCCUCAUAGUGGGGGAUAACGCAGCGAAAGCUGUGCUAAUACCGCAUACGCCCUGAGGGGGAAAGCGGGGGACCGUAAGGCCUCGCGCUAUGAGAGCGGCCGAUACCUGAUUAGCUUGUUGGUGGGGUAAAAGCCCACCAAGGCGACGAUCAGUAGCUGGUCUGAGAGGACGAUCAGCCACACUGGGACUGAGACACGGCCCAGACUCC